AGGCGCGCGGGGAGUUCGAGGCGUGCGGCGGGAAGGAAGGCGCGGGAGUCGGCAGUCCUUGCAGUGUGGGGCUGCGGCCGCCUGGUGGCGCUGUCGGAAACGGCCUGAGAGACGAAGCGCUGCAGCUGCUGCCGCCUUUUUGUGCGUUUUACCUGAGGGCUGGCACGAGUCCUGCUAAAUAACCCGUUUUGGCUGAACGUUAAAAAGUGCUACUGAGAUUGUUCAAUGCUUCAUGUUGCAUCAUGACCCAGCAGAAGGAACCAGUCUGAAUUGGAAAGGGAGAGGUUCCCAGAGCUCAACAAACAUAUUUUCAAUUCCAGAGAUCCUCAACCAGUAUUCCCCCAUUUUAAACUUCAUAAUCAGACAACAUACAGUGAGUCAUUGCUUAAUGGCAGCUGAACCAAAACACCUGUUAGUGAAUACGUAUGGAAUGUGAAGAUGAUCGUAAAGAACAAGAUUAUAAUUAAAGAUGCAUUAAUUCUAACAGAAACAAGAGAAAUGGAGCAGAUGCUAUACAUUUUUGUGGGUAGUUAUGUUUUUGUGUAAUGAUAGUGGAGAUAAAUAUUUGUAAACAGAAUUACUAUGUAAUUUAUGUUGGAGAGGACCUUAAAAGUCCUCUCCUGACCUCCAGACCAACACCCUUUCUCAAAGCAGGGCUAGCUAGCCACAAAGGUAGAUCAUGCUGGUGAAGAUAACAACAGCGUUUCGUUACUGCAAAAUUACAUGAGCAAAAGAUGAAAAAAUAUUCCCAUGCAUGUUUUGCUAUAGCUAGAAUAACUGUGUUCUUUGCUUUGAUCACAUGGAAUAAAUUUAAUGUGGCUUUUAUAGAACUCUAGCAGGUUGACCAAAAUUUCCUUUUAUUUUGGCCUGUGUCAUCUUUGUAUAAAAUCAUGACUCCAUUAAAUCAACAGAAGAACUCCCAAA